GAGUCUUCUAGGACUAUCACCAUCUCUGCAAAGAGGCCAGAGUCUCCAACUGGUCUUGCCCAGCAACAUUACACCAAGGGCAAUCUGGUCCGGAUAUGCAUUGGGGUUGUGAUUCUAAUACUCCUGGUGGGGCUUCUGGCAGAAGAUUGGCACAGCAGAAAGAAACCCCUGCCAUACAGGGUCAGACCUAUCCGCAGGCCACUCCCACCCCUCCCACAGACCCAGAGACAACACAGUCAUCAGGAUGGGGGUCGACCAGGUGGCCAUAACCAUGGGCGCCACAAUUAGAACUCCAAGGCUUGGUUGUAGCUAUGAGAUAAGGGAUGUAAAACCAUGUGUGGAGUGUAUGGAAUGUAGGAGCAAGAGGACAGGGGUUAUGACUAUGGAGAAGGAGGACCUUGGGGCCUCUCCUUGGUGUCCCAUCAAGGACCUGUUGAGCCAGUGUCUAUUUGGCUUUCAUCCAAGGACUCCUCUCAUUUGGGAUGGGAAGUAUCUAGUGGAUGCCAGUGUCUCCUCACUCACAUCUCGCACAUUGUGGAUCUUGUAGCACCCUAACUGGACCAUCAUAAUGACCCCUUCAACCUUCCCUAAUUCAUGUUCGUUAUUGACUUUUGUAUCACCAAGUCUCAUAGCUGACCCCAUUCUAUGCUCUGCAUAAAACUCUCUCACGCUU